CCUGUAUCACUAGCAAGGAAACUGAUUGGGAAAAUGACAACAGUUUAAUGAAGAAUCUUUACUUUGUUGAUGAAGAAUCUUUCAACCUUUGGAGAAAAAAAUCACUGACUAACCUGGUGUAAUUCUAUAAAUCACUUGUGAAGAAUAUGAUUAAUUGGGAGAGCACAUCAAUUCUUUUAAGGGGAAUAUUUAAUUCAGAGCGAUACAGCAUGGUAUGUCUUUGGACUGCGGGAGGAAACUGGAGCACCCAGGGAAGACCCAUGCAUUCCACAGGGAGGACGUACAAACUCUUCACAGAACGCCGUCGGAACUGAACUCCAAACUCCGGAACGCCUCGCGUUGCAAUAGCGUUGCGCUAACCGCUAUUGUCACAUGUACCAAGACAAAGUGAAAAGCUUGUAUGGACAUACUGCAUACUUCAUUACAGAUCAAAUCAUUGCACAUUGAAGUAGAACGAGGUAAAACAAUAACAGAAUGCGGAAUAAAGUGUAAAAGCUCCAGAGAAAGUGCAUUGCAAGUAAACAAUAAAGUGCAAGAACAUAAUAAGGUCGGUUAUAAGAUCAAGGGUCCACCUUAUCAUGCAAGAGAUCUGUUCAAGAGUCUGAUUUCAGCCGUAUAGAAGCUGUCCUUGACCCUGAUAAUACAUGCUUUUUGUUUUCUUCUCCAUCAAAUUGCAGGGUGAAGGAAGAUCACAUAAUUCUACCCUUCCAUUAUUGUCACUUUAGCACUUCUUUUUGAACUACUACAGUAUACUUUGCAUCUUUCUGUUGUUUUGCGCUGGUUGCUGUAUUUAUUGGUGUAUUCAUCAUUACCAUGCAUACUGUUCACUCAGUGAGCUUCAUGGGAGCAAGAAAUUUUAUUUCACCCUAGUCCAAGUAACAAUAAAUUAAUCUGAAUCUGUAUCUAAUGUGAAGUCUGUACAAAAUAUCAAACCAACCGAUUAAAGCUCUAGUGGGGAGAUUCCAAUUAAUGUUCUAUCAUCCGCAUUGUGGUUAGAAUCUUGGGUGUUGUUCAUUCAAUCAAUGCAAUGCCUUCCAAAAGGCAUCACCCCACCUGUCCUCCCCCACCAAGCAACGCCGCUCCAUGCUUUCUGUAACACCUCCCACAUUAUACCCAGUGACACAACCUGGCAACACAGGUUCUCUUUUCCCCAUCCAGUGCCCUCCCCAACUUCUCUACUACCCAGACUAACCUGUUUCUCUCUUUCCCAGUUCUGAAAAUGAAGCUUUUGGUGGUGGGUCAACAACUGAUAUGGUCAGUGGCCCAAUCUGUACUCUCAUUAAGGUGCACUAUUAUUUCUGAGCAAUAUUUGAAAGUAUUUUCACAGACAAACUCCAUUAUACUUGUUACCUAGGGCAUUGUGUUCAGGGUCAAUUACAUGCUGAACAAUUUUUGUGGUUGGUUGCUUCAUAUACUGCGUGGUUGUCUUGAAGAGAUAAUUUUGCAUAAUUUUGUCUUUACUCAGCAUAACUAUUAAAACUGUGGUAAACUUUGUUUUUAAGGUAUGGUUUUCUUUAGCACUUUUACCUUGAAGACUUAACCCUUCAUUGGGUAUAAUUUGGCUGAAAGAAGAUCUAGUUUGGAGCUUAACAUCCAAGGAUACACAUUGUGUCAAAAUGCCAGGCAGGUAGGCAAGGGCACAGCCUCAAAAUUGAGGGGUGACCUUUUAGAACGAGGUAAGAAGCAAUUUUAUUUUAACCAAAGAGCAGUGAAUCUGUGGAAUGCUCUGCCACAGACUGCAGUGAAGGCCAAGUCCAUGGGUGGAAUUUGAUCAUCUCUUGAUCAGUCAGGGCAUCAGCGGAAAUGGCGCAGAGGCAGGUGUAUAGGGUGAGCGUGAUCUGGGAUCAGCCGUGAUGGAAUGGUAGAGCAGGCUUGAUGGGCUGAAUGGCCUAAUUCUGCUCCUAUGUCUUAUGGUCUGAUGGUUCCUGACCUGUAACGUUAUUUGCUUUUCUCUCCGUGGAUGCUGCCUGACCUGCAGAGAGUUUCAGCAUUUUCUGACACAACAUAGAAAAUGUUCUGAUCUGUGCCCGGAGGUGUCAUGCUUUCUAAAUGCCAGGAGCACGUUAGACAUUUAGAAGGAGGAAAGACUAAACUGUUGAAAAAUAAAUAGUUCUGUUAGAUUCAAUGGUAUCAGUUCACCCCAACCUGACACUUGGGCGUGCUUCCACACAGCCUUUCCCCACUCUACUCCUUGCUCUGUAGGUCCACACCACACACGCAUGUGCGGUGGAAGUUCUGUAGUUUGUCAACCUCUUACCUGCUGCACCUUUCUGAAAAUAUGACCUUACCAAGAUACAGUUAUUUGACUAACCAGCCACUGCCUACAAAGUACAUAUUGCCUCUGGUACAAUCUUAUUUUUUAAACUAUGCAAACGAUAAGGAUAACAGACUAAGGCUGCUCUGACCACACAGUUGCAAAUCACUUGGCCCGACUUGUCAGUGACAAUCACAAGAGUUGAUGCUAUCUAUGGGACAUGCAAAUAGGUUUAAAAAAUGUGAUAGAGUGGUUUGGAUUCAGUGUGGAAUUUCACCUAUUGGUAUUGGUUCCAUUAUUGUCACAUGUACAGAGAUACAUGGGCAGUAGCGUAGUGGUCAGCAUAACGCUUUACAGUGCCAACGACCCAGGUUCACCACUAUCUGUAAGGAAUUUGUAUGUUCUCCCCGUGACCGUAUGGGUUCCCUCCGGUUGGUUAGUUAAUUGUCACUGUAAAUUGUCCCGCGAUUAGGCUGGGGUUAAGUCGGGGAUUGCUGGGUGGCUCAGCUCGAAGGGCUGGAAGGGCCUUUUCCACGCUGUCUCUCAAUAAGUAAAUAAAAAAUAAAAAUACAGUGAAAAGUCUUUGUUGUGGAUGCCAUCCAGGAAGAUUGUGCUAUUCAAUAUUGAGGUAGUCAGAAGUAAAACAAAAUGCAGAAUAUAGUGCUGGAGCUACAGAGAAUGUGCAGUGCAGGUAAUCAAAUGAAGUGCAAAGGCCAAACUGAGGUCAACUGGGAGAUCAAAAUAUACUGUACCUUUCGCAUAAAGAGUUCCAUUCAAGAGUCAAAUAACAGUGGGAACUGUAAUUGGUGGAAACAUAGGCAUAAUUCACUACCACCGACAUUGAGUUGGGGUUCACUUUAAGAAGCUGGUCUGAUGUAAUGAUGUGAAAUUUUUACUGUGCUUUAUGUUCUGUAUUUGGUGGACAAUAAAGGAGUUGUUACGGUUUCCUUAAACAUAAAA